rnacentral:rRNA from 1 species
GAUGAACGCUGGCGGCGUGCCUAAUACAUGCAAGUCGAGCGAACAGACGAGGAGCUUGCUCCUCUGACGUUAGCGGCGGACGGGUGAGUAACACGUGGAUAACCUACCUAUAAGACUGGGAUAACUUCGGGAAACCGGAGCUAAUACCGGAUAAUAUAUUGAACCGCAUGGUUCAAUAGUGAAAGACGGUUUUGCUGUCACUUAUAGAUGGAUCCGCGCCGCAUUAGCUAGUUGGUAAGGUAACGGCCUACCAAGGCAACGAUGCGUAGCCGACCUGAGAGGGUGAUCGGCCACACUGGAACUGAGACACGGUCCAGACUCCUACGGGAGGCAGCAGUAGGGAAUCUUCCGCAAUGGGCGAAAGCCUGACGGAGCAACGCCGCGUGAGUGAUGAAGGUCUUCGGAUCGUAAAACUCUGUUAUUAGGGAAGAACAAAUGUGUAAGUAACUAUGCACGUCUUGACGGUACCUAAUCAGAAAGCCACGGCUAACUACGU